UACGGGGGGAGCAAGCGUUGUUCGGAUUUCCUGGGCGUAAAGGGCGCGUAGGCGGCCAGCACAAGUCAGUUGUGAAAUCUCCGAGCUUAACUCGGAAAGGUCAACUGAUACUGUGCGGCUAGAGUGCGGAAGGGGCAACUGGAAUUCUUGGUGUAGCGGUGAAAUGCGUAGAUAUCAAGAGGAACACCUGCGGCGAAGGCGGGUUGCUGGGCCGACACUGACGCUGAGGCGCGAAAGCCAGGGGAGCGAACGGG
rnacentral:rRNA from 1 species